AAAAACAUUGUUUCUUGUAGUUGAUUCGAGAUAAUGUCUGCCCACUGAGAUAUUAAAGGGCUGCAGUAUACUGACUGUACAAAGGUAGCAUAAUAAAUAGUUUCUUAAUUGGGAGCUGGAAUGAAAGGCUUAAUGAGAAAUCUACUGUCUUAUUUAAAGAAUUAGAAUUUAAUGUUUAGGUAAAAAUGCCUAAAUGUGUGAGUGGGACGAGAAGACCCUGUAGAAUUUUAUUUUAUUAUGAGGUUAGUUAAAUUUAAAUUUGGGAGAAUAUAUUGUGAGGUAAAAUUUAAUUGGGGUGAUUAAAAAAUAAUUAACUUUUUUUUAUUAGUAUUAAAUAUAAGUAUAUAUUUGAUCCAUGUUGGAUGAUUGUAAGAUAAAUUACCUCAGGGAUAACAGCGUAAUUUAUUUGGAUAGUUCGUAUAGAUGAGUAAGGUUGCGACCUC
rnacentral:rRNA from 1 species